CCAACCGGGAUUCCCUGAGUAGCUGCGAGCGAAGACGGGAAGAGCUCAGCACGUAGGGACGGCAUGGAAACGUGCCUGUCCGAUUCCGUGUACUGGACCGGUCCGUUAUCUAUCACGCACUGUGCACUUCAAGUUCAACUUGAAGGUGGCCCAUUCUCCCAUAGAGGGUGAUAGGCCCGUGGAAAGGCAUGAGGUGAGGUGAUAGACGGUCGGCUCCAUGGAGUCGUGUUGCUUGAUAGUGCAGCACUAAGUGGGAGGUAAACUCCUUCUAAAGCUAAAUACCACCAUGAGUCCGAUAGCGAACAAGUACCGUGAGGGAAAGUUGAAAAGCACUCUGAAUAGAGAGUCAAAUAGUACGUGAAACUGCCUAGGGGUACAAACCCGUUGAACUCAAUGAUCCGGGCGGCGAUAUUCAGCGGUAAACGAGCAUUUGCCGUGCACUUAUCGAUCCGCAGUAACGGACAUCGCGAUCCAUUACAACAGCGGUUGGCCUCGUGUAACGCUCCGGCAUACACUGCCCCUAGCUCGUGGUGGACGGUCCCUCUGUAAGGGUAGGGUAGCUGCUCUACACUGACCGGGGAUCUCCGCGCAGUCCUUCUGGAAGGCGAAUGGGUCCGACCGAGCUCUGGUGUGCUGCUGGAAGGGUGAUGGAUUCUAACGAGAGGGGUAGUACCGCUGUCUUCUCCGAAAGGCGCGCGAAUCCUUCGUUCGGCGAUGAUGCAUCAUGCAUUGAGGCACCUCCGGGACCCCGUCUUGAAACACGGACCAAGAAGUCUAUCUUGCGCGCAAGCCAAUGGGUCGGUGGCCACGUCCGCGUGUGUCCCGGUUCGAUACACCCAAAGGCGAAGACAACUCGAGUUGCGGGAUUACGGGUUCGGCACUGGCGCAAGCCUUCGUCGGACCCCUCCAUCCCAGGGUGUCCCGAUACGGCGUGUGCUUGCACACCCAGCGGGCAUCCCCGGAGUGCGCAGGAUGCGACCCGAAAGAUGGUGAACUAUGCCUGAUCAGGUUGAAGUCAGGGGAAACCCUGAUGGAGGACCGAAGCAAUUCUGAC
rnacentral:ncRNA from 1 species